UUAGACAAUGGGCGCAAGCCUGAUCUAGCCAUGCCGCGUGUGUGAUGAAGGUCUUAGGAUCGUAAAGCACUUUCGCCAGGGAUGAUAAUGACAGUACCUGGUAAAGAAACCCCGGCUAACUCCGUGCCAGCAGCCGCGGUAAUACGGAGGGGGUUAGCGUUGUUCGGAAUUACUGGGCGUAAAGCGUACGUAGGCGGAUCAGAAAGUUAGGGGUGAAAUCCCGRGGCUCAACCUCGGAACUGCCUCUAAAACUCCUGGUCUUGAGUUCGAGAGAGGUGAGUGGAAUUCCAAGUGUAGAGGUGAAAUUCGUAGAUAUUUGGAGGAACACCAGUGGCGAAGGCGGCUCACUGGCUCGAUACUGACGCUGAGGUACGAAAGUGUGGGGAGCAAACAGGAUUAGAUACCCUGGUAGUCCACACCGUAAACGAUGAAUGCCAGUCGUCGGGCAGUAUACUGUUCGGUGACACACCUAACGGA
rnacentral:rRNA from 1 species